GCUUGUCUCAAAGAUUAAGCCAUGCAUGUCUAAGUAUAAACGACUUUAUACUGUGAAACUGCGAAUGGCUCAUUAUAUCAGUUAUAGUUUAUUUGAUGGUCCUUGCUACUUGGAUAACCGUAGUAAUUCUAGAGCUAAUACAUGCAUUAAACCCCGACUUCUGGAAGGGGUGUAUUUAUUAGAUAAAAACCAAUGCCUCGUGCUUUUGGUGAGUCAUGAUAACUGCGCGGAUCGCAUGGCCUUGCGCCGGCGACGCUUCAUUCAAAUUUCUGCCCUAUCAACUUUCGAUGGUAAGAUAGAGGCUUACCAUGGUGUUAACGGGUAACGGGGAAUUGGGGUUCGAUUCCGGAGAGGGAGCCUGAGAAAUGGCUACCACUUCCAAGGAAGGCAGCAGG
rnacentral:rRNA from 1 species